rnacentral:rRNA from 1 species
UACGAAGGGGGCUAGCGAUGUUCGGAAUUACUGGGCGUAAAGCGCACGUAGGCGGACUUGUAAGUCAGGGGUGAAAUCCCGGGGCUCAACCUCGGAACUGCCUUUGAUACUGCAAGUCUCGAGUCCGGAAGAGGUGAGUGGAAUUCCUAGUGUAGAGGUGAAAUUCGUAGAUAUUAGGAAGAACACCAGUGGCGAAGGCGGCUCACUGGUCCGGUACUGACGCCGAGUUGGGAAAGCGUGGGGAGCAGACGGG